rnacentral:rRNA from 1 species
CACGUAGGGACCAAGCGUUGUCCGGAUUUAUUGGGCGUAAAGCGCUCGUAGGCGGUUUGGUAAGUCGGGUGUGAAACCUCCAGGCUCAACCUGGUGACGCCACCCGAUACUGCCAUGACUUGAGUUCGGUAGGGGAGCGGGGAAUUCCUGGUGUAGCGGUGAAAUGCGCAGAUAUCAGGAGGAACACCGGUGGCGAAGGCGCCGCUCUGGGCCGAAACUGACGCUGAGGAGCGAAAGCGUGGGGAGCGAACAGG